rnacentral:tRNA from 1 species
GGCGAUGUAGCUCAGUUGGUUAGAGCAGCGGAAUCAUAAUCCGCGUGUCGGGGGUUCGAAUCCCUCCAUCGCUA